UGAAGACAUCACAACUAUGAAAUAAUACAUAUGGAAUCAUGUAGUGACCAAAAAAAGUGCUAAAACAAAUCAAAAUAUAUUUUAUAUUUUAGAUUCUUCAAAGUAGCCUCCCUUUGCCUUGACAGCUUUGGCAUUCUCUCAACAAGCUCCAUGAGUUAGUCACAUAUUAAUGGCCAGGAUUUUGGAAUGAUGCUUUGCACAAUGUAGAAAAUAGUAAAAAUAAAGAAGAACCUUUGAAUGAGUAGGUGUGUCCAAACUUUUGACUGGUGCUGUAUGAGACUGCCCGUCUCGAUUCGGUUCUUACGUAGCAACAUUUUAAAUGGUAUUUUUGACAUUAGAUACAAGUAGACUCAAAGCUACAAAAGACUAUAUCAUGCACUGCAGUUGAGGAACAAUGCAAAAGUCAAGUUGAUAAACUUGUAACCCCACUUUUUAGAAAAUGGCCUUUGAAUGUUUUGGUACACCUUGAGCGCUCUUCUUUGUCUACACCACAUUCAGUAUCGUCCACACCCUCUUAAGCUUUAGUCCCACCCAUCUCUUUAAGGAUUCACAUGUGAGGCCAUGUGCUAAACAGAGUGAGUACGGUAGUGUACUAAACAGAGUGAGUAUGGUAGUGUGCUAAACAGAGUGAGUACAGUAGUGUACUAAACAGAGUGAGUACGGUAGUGUAGUAAACAGAGUGAGUACAGUAGUGUACUAAACAGAGUGAGUACGGUAGUGUACUAAACAGAGUGAGUACGGUAGUGUACUAAACAGAGUGAGUACGGUAGUGUGCUAAACAGAGUGAGUACGGUAGUGUACUAAACAGAGUGAGUACGGUAGUGUACUAAACAGAGUGAGUACGGUAGUGUACUAAACAGAGUGAGUACAGUAGUGUACUAAACAGAGUGAGUACGGUAGUGUACUAAACAGAGUGAGUACGGUAGUGUAGUAAACAGAGUGAGUACGGUAGUGUACUAAACAGAGUGAGUACGGUAGUGUGCUAAACAGAGUGAGUACGGUAGUGUAGUAAACAGAGUGAGUACGGUAGUGUACUAAACAGAGUGAGUACGGUAGUGUAGUAAACAGAGUGAGUACGGUAGUGUAGUAAACAGAGUGAGUACAGUAGUGUACUAAACAGAGUGAGUACGGUAGUGUACUAAACAGAGUGAGUACGGUAGUGUACUAAACAGAGUGAGUACGGUAGUGUAGUAAACAGAGUGAGUACGGUAGUGUACUAAACAGAGUGAGUACGGUAGUGUACUAAACAGAGUGAGUACGGUAGUGUACUAAACAGAGUGAGUACGGUAGUGUACUAAACAGAGUGAGUACGGUAGUGUGCUAAACAGAGUGAGUACGGUAGUGUACUAAACAGAGUGAGUACGGUAGUGUAGUAAACAGAGUGAGUACGGUAGUGUACUAAACAGAGUGAGUACGGUAGUGUACUAAACAGAGUGAGUACGGUAGUGUAGUAAACAGAGUGAGUACGGUAGUGUACUAAACAACCAAAGAUUUCAAGACUGAAAGUGGUAAAAGUAGUAGCCCACAAUAAGGAAAAACUCCAGGUAGAAAUAAACUUUAUCUAGUCCUUGGCCUAUAUCCUAAUCUGUCUUUGGUGUAGGUCAUGUUGUUCUUCACAUUACCGUCUCUGUUAAACACACACUAUAUCAAAUACAAGUUGAUUUAUCCCAUGCAACAUGAUACAGAAGGUCUACAGUAAAAACGAUACAGUGAAAUGGUUACUUGCGUGAUUUGCAUAGUAGCGAUAUCAAAAAAUACAAAGUGUCCAGAUAAAAAAUAUGUUGUGAUUAUUAGAUGACGGUUAUCCAGACACACUUGUCUAAAUUGAUGGGUCAUGUGAAGUAAAUGUUUUAGCUAACCACCACCCCCCACAGCCACAUCUAGCUAAGUGGAUGGGUCACUAUUGUCUAGACAUGUACAAGUACAAUAGAUGUCCGUAGUCACCCCCAGAUACACUUGGCUGACUUGAUGGGUCAUGUAAUCUUUUGUUUAGACAUGUAGCUAGCUAAAUAGCUAAAUAAUGAAACAUAAUCCCAGCUACAUUAUGAACAGAUUGUCAUAGCUAGCCACAUGCAUGAAAUGCUGUAAUAUUAAUCUGCAGGUAGCUAAAGCUAACCAGCUAGGUUCAAUGUUAGCUAGCUAGCUAACAUUAGGCUAUAACUAGCAAUGGAAAUGGCUUUCUGAGAUACAAAUACUAUAUCUACACAGAUCAUACAUGUAACCUUAGCUAGCGAGCCAGCAAGCUAACAUUCGCUAGCUAGCUAACGGUACGUUUUAAUUUGCAAUUAAAACAACUUUCUGACAAAAUUAGAAAUGUAUAAUAUCUGUAAAUGUAGCUAGACUCUUACCCGUAUACCUAGAGGAACUCUUCACGGCAGCGUGUCUUUUCCGUUGUUUGAAGCUAGCUACAGCUUAGUUUGGCCCGUUGUGUCAAGUCACUCUGAUUCACACACUGACCGUCUGCAGGAAGUAGUUAAUCACAACUUUGCCCCACUGAGCUUUGUCGAUAGUACCUGCUAAAUUCAGGGCAGCAAUGUUGUUCUCCAUGGCUAAUGUUGUAUCUUUCAACAACAAAAAAUCCGCGGUAGCAACGAUUAUCUAUCUACACAUCUUGAGCAGCUCAUGUUAUAGACAGAAGCAUGCUACAUGGCUGACCAAUCCGAACUCAUCUCUCGGCAUGUCCAGCCCAUCCAUUAUCUCAGCCAAUCAUGGC
rnacentral:lncRNA from 1 species